rnacentral:lncRNA from 1 species
ACUGGUGUCACUGGUGCGAGUGGGAGCCUUACUGGGAGCACAGGUUUCCCUCUUACCCCUUACUGGGAGCACUGGGAGCCCUUACUGGUGUUACUGGGAGCACUGGUUUCCCCCUCACCCCAUACUGGGAGCACUGGGAGCCUUACUGGUGCCACUGGGAGCCAAACUGGGAGCACUGGUUUCCCUUUUCCCCCAAACUGGGAGCACUGGGAUCCCCCUCACCCCAUACUGGGAGCACUAGGAGCCCUUACUGGUGUCACUGGUGUCACUGGGAGCCUUACUGCUCUUACUGGGAAGGGACUGGGAUCCUUACUGGGAGCACUGGGAUCCUUACUGGUGCUACUGGGACCCAGACUGGUGUCUGGGAGCACUGGGACCCUUACUGGUGUCACUGGGAUCCUUACUGGGAGGAGUGGGGGGGCACUGGGACCCAUACUGGUGUCACUGGUGUCACUGGCAGCCAAACUGGUCUUACUGGGAAGGGGCUGGGAGCCAGACUGGGAGCACUGGGAGCUGUAGGAGCCAGACUGGGAGGGCACUGGUGUCACUGGGAUCCUUACUGGGAGCACUGGGAGCCUUACUGGUGUGACUGGUGUCACUGGGAGCCAAACUGGGAGCACUGGGAGCUGUAGGAGCUGGACUGGUGUCACUGGGAAGGGACUGGGAGCCUUACUGGUGUCACUGGGUCCUUACUGGUGUCACUGGGAUCCUUACUGGUUUUACUGGUGUCACUGGGAGCCAUACUGGUCUUACUGGGAGCCUUACUGGGAGCACUGGUUUCCCUCUUACCCCUUACUGGGAGCACUGGGAGCCGACUGGUGUCACUGGGAGCCAAACUGGGAGCACUGGUUUUCCUUUUCCCCCAAACUGGGAGCACUGGGAUCCCCCUCACCCCAUACUGGGAGCACUGGGAGCCCUUACUGGUGUCACUGGUGUCACUGGGAGCCUUACUGGUUUUACUGGUGUCACUGGGAUCCUUACUGGCAGCACUGGUGUCACUGGGAGUCAUACUGGUCUUACUGGGAAGGGACUAGGAGCCUUACUGGGAGCACUGGGAGCCCUUACUGGUGUCACUGGGAGCACUGGGAUCCUUACUGGGAGGAGUGGGGGGGCACUGGGACCCAUACUGGUUUUACUGGUGUCACUGGGAGCACUGGGAGCUGUAGGAGCCAGACUGGGAGCACUGGGAUCCAUACUGGUGUCACUGGGACCCUUACUGGUGCUACUGGGACCCAUACUGGUUUUACUGGUGGCACUGGUUUCCCUUUUCCCCCAAACUGGGAGCACUGGGAUGCCCCUCACCCCAUACUGGUGUCACUGGGAGCCUUACUGGGAGCACUGGGAGGGCACUGGGAUCCUUACUGGUGUCACUGGUGUCACUGGGAGCCUUACUGGUCUUACUGGGAAGGGACUGGGAGCCAGACUGGGAGCACUGGGCCCUUACUGGUGCCACUGGGAGCCCUUACUGGUGUCACUGGUUUCCCUUUCCCCCCAAACUGGGAGCACUGGGAUCCCCCUCCCCCCAAACUGGGAGCACUGGUUUCCCUCUUACCCCAUACUGGUGUCACUGGGAAGGGACUGGGAGCCUUACUGGUGUCACUGGGUCCUUACUGGUGUCACUGGGAUCCUUACUGGUUUUACUGGUGUCACUGGGAGCCAUACUGGUCUUACUGGGAGCCUUACUGGGAGCACUGGUUUCCCUCUUACCCCUUACUGGGAGCACUGGGAGGUGUCACUGGUGUCACUGGCAGCUAACCUGGUCUUACUGGGAAGGGGCUGGGAGCCUUACUGGGAGCACUGG